ACACCCCUCUCCGUUUAGACAAGAUUAACUUGUCAAACGACCGGUCCUCCGCCAGACUGGUCUUUCUGAACGGAUCUUAGCGUCUGAUCCUUCAUGGGCCAAUGGCAGAGGCUUAAAGUACAGGGCCGAUCAGAAGGAAAGGAAGGGGGCUGUGGAUUUAGGAUCGUUUUACCUGGAUAUGGAUUAGCGCUUCAGGGUUAAUGCCUUCAUUCAGACUGUCAGUGUGUCGUCAGGAGCAAAGGAUUAGGAGCCCCAGGGAGACGAGCAGGGAGAUGAGACACUGGCAACGGGAGGACAGCUCAUUUUUACACAGGCAGAGAGGGAGGACAGCUCAUCUUUGAUCCGGCAGGGGCUUCGCAGGCCAGAGGGGUGACAGCUGCAUUUUCUUUAGCCCACAUUUGAAUUUGAAUUCUAUCUUAUGAUGCAGCUAUGUGCCGGCUUGGCAGGGCAGUGGGGUAAUCUGCUCUACACAAACGCCCGGGCUUUCUUCCUGUGUGCCCUCACAGAGAUUUAAGUAAUUAAACUUAAAUUGAAUGCAUAAAAAACCUCACUUGUACCGGUGGCUGUCUUGCUCGUGCCAGGAGUGAAUAGUCAGGGGCUGUCCUCUCUCUCUCUAAUCCCUCUUACUAUUUCUGCCCUCCUGACUUUGGCUGGCCUUGCGCUGGAAGCUCGGCAUUCCUCUCCAGACAUCUUUGCAAGCUGGAGAACCAAACUUCUGAACUCCCACAGUUAAUUGGAAUAAACAUCUGUGUUGCUUGUCUGCCACUGAAGAAUUCUGCUCCUGCAGUUUCAUACAGCAAAGCCAAGAUUACAUCACAUAUGAUUACUGAUGCUAAUUUCAGCCAUUAAAGAUGUGAACUAUAAAAACUUUCUUAAUAAACGUUCCUGGUCUUAUAUAUA